UUAUUAAGGAGUAAUGAUUUAUUUUAUAAAAGGAUCCACAAUAGGAUUUUUAAAGAAAAAAGCCAUCUCUCUUGUACAUUUAAAAAGACUCAAUUUACAACAUCUGUUGCAGAAAGUAGAGCAUCCAUUGUAGCGUGUAAGGCACUUCCUUUCUUCAUCUCUAAUUGGGAAUGGGCAGCAAGACAAUCUGCAGGGAGAGCUUCUGCCUCUAGUUUCAAAGUUUUCCAGUAGCCCUUCAGUGAACCCUCCAACCAGGUAUCUAAAGUGUUCAUUUUCCUUUCUCAUUGGAGGAUAUUAGAUAAAAUAAAUGAAGAACUUUAAAUAAGAGAAAAACACAGAGGACUCCCCAAACAGAAUUUAAAAAUAUUUAGCUGCCAAGGUCCUGGAUGAUCCAUUGUUCCUAGGUCUGGAAAUUCUUGCCCAUUAAGUUGCACCUUGCCUCUGGGAAAUAAAUCAUUUUUCCCUCAGGGAGGUCUCAAGCUCCCAUGUCAUCCCUUCAUUUCUCAAGCACAGCAGCCUGACCCCAAAUUUAAUCCACCAGAAUUUCUUCUCAUAACACAUCAUUGCUGUAUUCUCUGUUCACAUGGUGGAAUCACCUUUGACUUUUUUUCUUCUAUCUCCAUUGUCAGUCUGCAGAUCUUACCAUUUCCUCCUUUAAAAACUAAUUUUUUUUUUUUUUUAAACCCAUCUUCAUUUUCUCUGCCUUGCCUUAGUUCUGGAUUAUUGCUAUGGCCUAAUGGCCGAAUCUCUUUCCUUGUGAAAUGCAAAGAAUCGAGGAAUAUUUCCAACACCACUCAUACCAGCUCCAUUCACUCCCAGGUCUAGUCAGAUCAAGUUUUAACUACUCUUUUAAAAACUUUGCUCAAUAUAGCCCCAAAUCACCCUAAAAAAGCUAAGGAGUCCCCUAUGGGAACCAAUGUUCCAAACGGGCUGAUCACACUUACCAUGUUGUACCCACAAGUCAUUUAUUUAUCCCUGACUCCUAGGCAAGAAGAGAGAGGAGAUAUUGCCUAUUGGUGGGGGUUGUAAUAUCCAUCAUGUCUGCAGUGUAAUCUGUUCUCUGAACCACUCGGAGGAUAUGGCCAGUAGGAAAAACUAUUCUAAUCUGUCUAGCUCUUGGGCCUCAGGCUGUAAGGAACAAUAAAAGCCACCCCCAAUUAACCUCAUUCCCUCAAUUGUCAUUCAGGAAAUUGAGCCCCCACAGUAGCAGUCUGUAUGUACCUCAAUCACUGCGUCCAUGAUCAUCAUACUCCAUACAUUACAGUGACUGAUACGCUGAAAAUAAAGACCUGUGGAGGAAAAGAAGCCAGGUCGGGAGCCCAGCCCACAACAGACAGACAGGCCUCCAUUUGUUACCAGAAUGACAGCUCUUUGGGGUCAGCGACCAUGUUCUCUGAUAGGAAUGGGGACAGGAAGGCACUCGGGGAAUGCUGCAAUGGCUUAACUAACACAAGAGCAAGUUGAGAAGCAUUUACUAAUGGAUGAUCCUCAGAUCUAGCCUGGACUGUACAGACCAGCAGCCACAUCUCGGGGGUUGGGUAUCUCUGGUAAUGUCUCAGUCCAAUCUCAAUCAAAUGUGAACAUGUCCUAGCCCCACAGCCCCAAACUGCAAGAGCCUAAGGAGCCUCCAGGAGGGGAGGUGUGACAGGCCCCACGAAGCCCAGCAUCCAGGUCCGGCCCUCUGCAGCGGGCCUCUUCCUAGGAAGGAAAUACAGCAGACUAGGGAGAAAUUGGGCCCUAGAUGUAGCUGAUCUUGGGACAGGACCUGUCCUUUAUGACCUCAAAGAUCAAAGGUCGGGGCAUGGUGCCCAGGAAAUGGCCCUGCCCCAACCUUGCCUGCUCUCUGCUCCUAACUUCCCUUCUGGGACCCUGGGAGGCUCUUCCAACUUUCAUCUUUCUUCCUUUUAAGUCCUUAUAUAGCAACUCCGGCAGUAGGGUAGGUGGGUCUGGGCAAGAUAUACUUCUGUUGUGCUGGGGGCUGGGCCACGUCUGAUCAUUCUGCUACCCCUGAUCUUCUCAUGCCCUGGUUGGUAAGGAUUAGAAAGGGCUGAGAUCAUGGGGACAGAAAUACUGCAAUGAGGGAGAUCCUCACAGAGAAAGGGCCCUAAGCUCAGCCAGCUGCGAUGAAUUCCUAUUUCUGCUCUGAGUAGGGUAAGUAUGGAACCCACCCCAGGACCAUAAUUCUUCCCUCCCUACUCAGGGAAAGGUGGGGAGCCUAGAAAAGCCUAUUCCAAGUACUUUUCAAGCCUUUCCCGAUCCCAAAAAUAAGCUGGAGCCUUGGGUCAAGCAGAGAGACCUGGAUGUAAAGUAAAAUCAAGUUACCUGAGCAUAAUCUAUAUCCCAAAUCCCUUCCCAAUGGGCCUCAAAUUUAAUCCCUGGACCCAAGGAGCCAGUCCUCAUCAAGAUUUAAGUUUUCUCAUGUUUUCUUUGGAAAGGAAGGGAGGGAGCCAGCCUAGUCCGGCUGGUGCAUUGGGAAAGGUAGAAAAACAAACAUAGGAAUCCAAAUUGGGAAACCCUAAAGCCAGAGUUGCCAUAGCAACGAGGAUGCGCGCUCACAGCUGCCAUGCACAGUCUCUCCUUAUUAGGCAUGGAGACCACACAAGAGCCCUGGACCUUCAUUUCUCCCCAGCCUCAGAUAGGACCUCUCUUAUCUGGUCAUCAAAGGUCCCAGGACUGCCUGAAAAUCAUCUGAUGGAUGGAAGAAAUGACAUCAGCUGAAGUCAGGAAGAAAGGUACGAGUUCUUAUAAAGUCUAUGAUCCAGCUCUCCCCUCCAAUCCCUUCCUUGAUCAGAAUACUCAAGACAUCCCUCAUUUGUGACAUCAUUGGUCUUCCGUAACAGAAGGACCACCACAUCAAGCCAAACACUGGCCACAAAAACGCCAGCAUGAAAGAAAGAUGCGUCUGUCCCACAUGAUGACCCCUCUGCUUAUCGCUGGGGCUCAGCUCUGUGGCUUCACAAUUAAAGCUGUAAAUGGAGCUAUCAUCCCUCUUCUGAAUUCCUUGGAGACUCUCAGGAGGACCAAACAUGAUAGC
rnacentral:lncRNA from 1 species